UCCCUGGUGGCUCAGAAGGUAAAGCAUCUGCCUGCAAUGCAGGAGACCCAGGUUCGAUCCCUGGGUAGGGAA
rnacentral:tRNA from 1 species